rnacentral:lncRNA from 1 species
AUUUGAAAAUGAGCGUUUUUAAGUCUGGCAUUUUUUUAAUGGCAUCAGCCUGAUGCCAAGCACAAGUCAGUAAGAAAGCCACUGUCAUACAUAGUAAGAAGCUGAAGCAAAUACAAAGUAUGCUGCAACAGUCAACUACUUAAGAGGGAAGAGGAUAUUGCAGUCCGAAAGAGAACUUUCCAACAAUGAAGUAACUGAUGCAUUAUACUUUAGGAAUAAACACUGAACGUGACCAGACAAGUUCCUAAUAAUUUCUACUUGAUUUUUUAGUUUUCCUGAAUACUUCUUGUGUUUAAAGAUUGCAAUUUCAGUUUGAAACUGCAACUAUUCAGAAGCACUGCCUAGCAGCCCCAUUAUGAGUCAGGUACUCAUUUUACUGUACAUAAAGGCAUGCUGAGGGAAAAGGAAAAAACACCCCACACUUGGGGUACUUUCUGUCUUAAUUACUGGAAAAAUUAAUUUACCCAAGCGAGUAAAUAACAGUGAUCUAUAUCAACCCCACUGAUUCUCCUUCUCUUACCCAGUUAUCCAAGUUUGCCAAAAACAAUUGUCUAACAAUAUUAUUUUGUGAUUUUACAGCUACUUGCAUUGAUGCUGUGCAAAGGACACAAGCAGUUAUUCUUGGUCAUGUAUUUACAAAACCCUGAAUUGAGAUUGAUUUGAAGAGUUGCUUGUCUGAAUUUCUUCUACUAAAGAGUUACUCAAAGAAGGGAAGAACAUGAAGCAUGAAAAGAAGCUCUUGAGAAGAAUCCAGCCAGGUCAGCCAACCAACCUCCAUGCUUCUUUGAAGAAAGAGGGUGCAAAGGCAGAACAGCUGUCCAGUGAACUAGAAGAAAUAGCCCUGAAGAUAGCUUUGUGUCUGAUAUGACUUUGAGAGGGAAAAUCAUCCCAAAGAUAAAUGCUUCAAAUGAAGUUUCUAAGGGACAGAAUAAAUGCAUAUAUAUAUAUGAA